rnacentral:rRNA from 1 species
GAUGAACGCUGGCGGCGUGCCUAAUACAUGCAAGUCGAGCGAAGCGGGGACGGGUGAGUAACACGUGGAUAACCUCCUAUAUGACUGGGAUAACUUCGGGAAACCGGUGCUAAACCGGCUACUUAUAGAUGGUUCCGCACUGCAUUAGCUAGUUGGUAAGGUAACGGCUUACCAAGGCAACGAUGCAUAGCCGAGCUGAGAGGGUGAUCGGCCACACUGGAACGGAGACACGGUCCAGACUCCUACGUGAGGCAGCAGUAGGGAAUCUUGCGCAAUGGGCGAAAGCCUGACGGAGCAACGCCGCGUGAGUGAUGAAGGUCUUCGGGUCGUAAAACUCUGUUAUUAGGGAAGCGGUACCUAAAGAAGAAGCCACGGCUAACUACGUGCCAGCAGCCGCGGUAAUUC